CCACUUGAUCAGGGUGAAUCCAAUUUGUAAGGUGUGUAGAUCGGCCUUGGAAACUCAAAAACAUGUCCUAUGUGACUGUCCAAGAGCUCAAAUGUGAUGACUCCGCAUUAUAGAUUUGCCACAGCUUCCUAUUUUUCGAUGGAUUCACGAGCUGGUCACUAAGUUUCAAUCCAGCCAAUAUAAUUUGUAUGUGAUGAUUUUACGGGCUCUUUAGAGAGAUAAGAAUCGGUUAAUACUUCCAAAAUCAGGUUCUUAGGGAGACUGAAAUUCUGUCCAUUGCUUCAAAAGAAUUUUCUGAUUGUGCUUAUUCCUCCUUGGACAGUUGCUGAUCCCGGGGCUGUCUGUCGAUGGUAACCUUCUCCAUAUGGUGCUUACAACAUAUAAAUAGAUGCUUCGUUUGAUAAUGUUGGUCGAACAGGUCUGGGGUUUGUUAUUAGAGACAUUGUAGGUAAUUUGGUUGGGGCAGGCGUCAAGCGGCUUGAUUUUAUUCUCCCAGCUGAAGCAGAGGCAGUUUUAUUAGCAUUGCAAAUGGAAGGGAAGUUGAAUCUGAAACAAAUUCACUAGGAGUCCAAGACUCCUUGUUUGUGGUGGAGCUCUUCCAUGCAAAUGCCAAGGAUGACAGUGAUACUGGUACCAAGAUCUUAGACACAGAUAGUGUUUGGUUCAGCUAAUGAUAACUGAAUUUUAUCAAUUAGCUCUAUUUAAGUGUUCGGUAGACUCUUCUUAUCAGCAACUGAUAGCUAGAAUGAAUCCUCAAUAAGUGAUGUUCAAUCAAAUGCCACAUUUGAUUACUAGAAUUAUUGUUGCUUGCCAUAACAUAGCCUUUUUAGUUGUUGUCUCUGGACAAAGAUAUUCAUGUUUGCAAAAACAGGGCAAGCAGU
rnacentral:lncRNA from 1 species